rnacentral:rRNA from 1 species
UACGUAGGGCGCGAGCGUUAUCCGGAAUUAUUGGGCGUAAAGAGCUCGUAGGCGGUUUGUCACGUCUGCUGUGAAAACUGGAGGCUCAACCUCCAGCCUGCAGUGGGUACGGGCAGACUAGAGUGCGGUAGGGGAGAUUGGAAUUCCUGGUGUAGCGGUGGAAUGCGCAGAUAUCAGGAGGAACACCGAUGGCGAAGGCAGAUCUCUGGGCCGUAACUGACGCUGAGGAGCGAAAGCAUGGGGAGCGAACAGG